GACGAACCGUGCGAACGUUGUUCGGAAUCACUGGGCUUAAAGGGCGCGUAGGCGGGUUCGCAAGUCUGUGGUGAAAGCCUCCAGCUUAACUGGAGAAGUGCCAUGGAUACUGCGCAUCUUGAGGAGGGUAGGGGCGUCUGGAACGGUCGGUGGAGCGGUGAAAUGCGUUGAUAUCGACCGGAACUCCGGUGGCGAAGGCGAGGCGCUGGACCCUUUCUGACGCUGAGGCGGCGAAAGCCAGGGGAGCAAACGGG
rnacentral:rRNA from 1 species